UACGUAGGGCGCAAGCGUUAAUCGGAAUUACUGGGCGUAAAGCGUGCGCAGGCGGUUAUGCAAGACGGAGGUGAAAUCCCCGGGCUCAACCUGGGAACUGCCUUUGUGACUGCAUAGCUAGAGUACGGUAGAGGGGGAUGGAAUUCCGCGUGUAGCAGUGAAGUGCGUAGAUAUGCGGAGGAACACCGAUGGCGAAGGCAAUCCCCUGGACCUGUACUGACGCUCAUGCACGAAAGCGUGGGGAGCAAAC
rnacentral:rRNA from 1 species